rnacentral:pre_miRNA from 1 species
AGGCGACAGAAGAGAGUGAGCACACAUGGUUCCUUUUUCUAGCAUGCUCAUGCUCGAAAGCUCUGCGUGCUUACUCUCUUCUUGUCUCCU